ensembl:snRNA U6 U6 spliceosomal RNA
GUGCUUGCUUCAGCAGCAUAUAUACUAAAAUUGGAAUGAUACACAGAAAAUUAGAAUGGCCUCUGCAUAAGGAUGACAUACAAAUUCAUGAAGUGUUCCAUAUUUUU